rnacentral:piRNA from 1 species
UGGCUUCUUCUUGUUUUGCCAUAGGGUC